GUAGUACUCCCUCCGUCUAACAAAAGAUGUCUUAAGUUUGUCAAAAUUUAAAUGUAUCCAGACAUUAUUUAUUGUAUAAAUACAUUUAAAUUUAGUCAAAGUUGAGAAAUCAUUUGUUGGACGAAGGAAAUACUUG
rfam:Brachypodium distachyon strain Bd21 chromosome 3, whole genome shotgun sequence.